AUACGUAGGGGGCGAGCGUUGUCCGGAAUGAUUGGGCGUAAAGGGCGCGUAGGCGGCGACAUAAGUCUGAAGUGAAAGUCCCAAAUUCAAGUUAGGAAUUGCUUUGGAAACUAUAUCGCUUGAGUGCAGGAGAGGUCAUCGGAAUUCCCGGUGUAGCGGUGAAAUGCGUAGAGAUCGGGAGGAACACCAGUGGCGAAGGCGGGUGGCUGGACUGUAACUGACGCUGAUGCGCGAAAGUGUGGGGAGCAAACAGGAUUAGAUACCCUGGUAGUCCACACCGUAAACGAUGAAUGCUAGGUGUAGGUGGUAUCGACCCCAUCUGUGCCGUCGCAAACGCAAUAAGCAUUCCGCCUGGGGAGUACGGUCGCAAGAUUAAA
rnacentral:rRNA from 1 species